rnacentral:rRNA from 1 species
GACGAACGCUGGCGGCGUGCUUAACACAUGCAAGUCGGACGAGGAAACCUAGCUUGCUAGGUCGAUUAGUGGCGAACGGGUGAGUAACACGUGACUAACCUGCCCCUUUCUCUGGGAUAACGCUCCGAAAGGAGUGCUAAUACCGGAUACUCACACCGAGGCACAUGCCUUGGUGUGGAAAGUUUUUCGGAAAGGGAUGGAGUCGCGGCCUAUCAGCUUGUUGGUGAGGUAACGGCUCACCAAGGCGACGACGGGUAGCCGGCCUGAGAGGGCGACCGGCCACACUGGGACUGAGACACGGCCCAGACUCCUACGGGAGGCAGCAGUGGGGAAUAUUGCACAAUGGGCGCAAGCCUGAUGCAGCGACGCCGCGUGAGGGAUGAAGGUCUUCGGAUUGUAAACCUCUUUCAGUAGGGACGAAGCGAAAGUGACGGUACCUAAAGAGGAAGCACCGGCUAACUACGUGCCAGCAGCCGCCGUAA